rnacentral:rRNA from 1 species
CAAUAGCGUAUAUUAAAGUUGUUGCAGUUAAAAAGCUCGUAGUUGGAUUUGUGGUUCGUCCCGCCGGCUGGGUCAUUGACUUUUGCUGUGCUGGUCGUCCAUCCUUGGGUGGAAUCUGUGUGGCAUUAGGUUGUCGCGCAGGGGAUGCCCAUCGUUUACUGUGAAAAAAUUAGAGUGUUCAAAGCAGGCUUAUGCCGUUGAAUAUAUUAGCAUGGAAUAAUGAUAUAGGACCUUGGUACUAUUUUGUUGGUUUGCGCACUGAGGUAAUGAUUAAUAGGGACAGUUGGGGGUAUUCGUAUUCCAUUGUAAGAGGUGAAAUUCUUGGAUUGUUGGAAGACGAACUACUGCGAAAGCAUUUACCAAGGAUGUUUUCAUUAA